GCGGAACACCGCCAGCAGCGGACUCAUAAUCCGUCGGCCGUGGGUUCGAGUCCCACCCGCCCCA
rnacentral:tRNA from 1 species